rnacentral:snRNA from 1 species
GGAGAGUGAUCUGGCUGUAGCAUCUGUCACCCCAUUGAUUGCCAUGGUUGAUUUAGCUGAUCUGUCUGGCUAAAUCAGACCUCUCCAGGUCUGUUCCUCCCAAAGCUGCACACUUAGCAGAAAGAAUGACCAUCUUAGACAGAAGGCAUGUGCUGUUCUUUGGUCAGGGGUAUAGCUGCACCACCCUGCUAGAACCUCCAAACUAACAAACAAGUCCUCUGAAUAUAUUAUUUCUGAGUAAUUAUGCUGAGGUUUAAAUAGUGGAUUAUCACGGAUUAAGGGCAAUGGAGGAUGCAAUGAGGCUAUGACU